rnacentral:lncRNA from 1 species
GGUAGAAUGUUUGAGUGAAAGAGCUUAAGAGCCUAACUCUUGCAAACAAGUGGGGGCAGAAGCAAAUGCCAAGGUGGCUCUUUAUUUUCUGAAAGAAUUGAAUUUCAAUUUAAUUGUUCAAUGUAUUAAUUUUGGAAUAUAGAAAUUCAUUACAAUCAGGGAUCUUUUUAUUCCUUCACAAAGGAUUGAUUUCCACUAUGAUGAUUUGGUGGAUCACCAAAGUCAUAACAGACCUCAAGAUUCAACGAACU